GAUGAACGCUGGCGGCGUGCCUAAUACAUGCAAGUCGAGCCAACAGACGAGGAGCUUGCUCCUCUGACGUUAGCGGCGGACGGGUGAGUAACACGUGGAUAACCUACCUAUAAGACUGGGAUAACUUCGGGAAACCGGAGCUAAUACCGGAUAAUAUAUUGAACCGCAUGGUUCAAUAGUGAAAGACGGUUUUGCUGUCACUUAUAGAUGGAUCCGCGCCGCAUUAGCUAGUUGGUAAGGUAACGGCUUACCAAGGCAACGAUGCGUAGCCGACCUGAGAGGGUGAUCGGCCACACUGGAACUGAGACACGGUCCAGACUCCUACGGGAGGCAGCAGUAGGGAAUCUUCCGCAAUGGGCGAAAGCCUGACGGAGCAACGCCGCGUGAGUGAUGAAGGUCUUCGGAUCGUAAAACUCUGUUAUUAGGGAAGAACAAAUGUGUAAGUAACUAUGCACGUCUUGACGGUACCUAAUCAGAAAGCCACGGCUAACUACGUG
rnacentral:rRNA from 1 species